rnacentral:miRNA from 10 species
CAUAAUAUUAGGUUGGUGCAAAAGUUAUUGCGGUUUUUGCCAUUACUUUCAAUGGGAAAGAACUGCAAUUAAUUUUGCACCAACCUAUAAUU